UGCUGAUUGUAGUUUCAAUGAUAUCAUGCAAUAUCCUGUGUUACCAUGGAUACUAGCUGAUUACACUAGUACUACCCUAGAUCUAACAAAACUGGAUGCAUUCAGGGAUUUUAAAUGAAGAGAGAAUAGCAUUCUUUAAAGAUCGUUAUGCUGAGAUGUCUGGAAGGAAGUUUCUCUAUGGCACUCACUACUCAGCACCUGGUUAUGUACUGUACUAUCUAGUCAGAACUGGUUAGGAAAACCUGUUUAUCUUGUACCUCCACCUUCUCCCCCUCCCUCCCUCCCUCCCCCUCACUAGUCCAUCAGUGUGCUCCAGUGUAUCCAGUAUCACAGUGAUCAUGACUCACAGUACAGGUGUGCCAGGAAGGUAUCAACAGUGAUAUGUGUCCAUGAUGUACAGUGUCUUGAACCUGAUUGUAAUAACCACGGGUCAUGUGACAUGGGGGCGUGUUCAUGUGAGUCACCAUGGACCGGAGAUACUUGUGGAUCUGUUAACUGUUCACUGACUGAUUGUAAUGGACACGGAAUAUGUAUGGAGGGUAAGAGGAAAUACAUGUACUGUCCUUAGUACA